CCUACGGGUGGCAGCAGUGGGGGAUAUUGCACAAUGGGGGGAACCCUGAUCCAGCGACGCCGCGUGCGGGAAGAAGGGCCUCGGCGCGUAAAGCUCUUUCAGCAGGGAGGAAAAUGCCGGUACCUGAAGAAGAAGCCCCGGCUAACUACGUGCCAGCAGCCGCGGGAAUACGGAGGGGGCAAGCGUUAUCCGGAUUGACUGGGUGUAAAGGGGGCGCAGGGGGCGUUGUAAGACAGUAGUGAAAGCCCGGGGCCAAACCCCGGGACUGCUCGUGGAACUGCGUGGCUGGAGAGCAGGAGGGGUAGGCGGAAUGUCUGGUGUAGCGGUGAAAUGCGUAGAGAUCAGGAGGAACACCGGUGGCGAAGGCAGCCUGCUGGACUGCAACUGACGUUGAGGCCCGAAAGCGUGGGGAGCAAACAGGAUUAGAUACCCUUGUAGUC
rnacentral:rRNA from 1 species